GCCAUUUGCAUUCAGCUCACGCUUUUGAGUGUUCGAUACCAAGAGCUACUGCAAACAUGAAGUGCUUGGUCCUGGUUUUGGUUCUGGGUUUAGUCUCUCCUCUGAUCAGAGGGGAAUUUCCAGACUGUGAAACUACAUUUCUCAACCCAGGUCAAACAAACUGUAUUGAUGAAACUGAUGGCUCAGAGCAUGGAAUGGACUCCACCUGGACGAACUCACAGUGUUACAAAUGUCAUUGUUCCUCUACUGGCAUGACAUGCUGUGACACGAUUGUUCCACCAAGUAACCCAAAUCCUACCACCUGCACUGUGGUGUACGACUAUCAGACCUGCCAAGCCAACCUUGUGAGCAGAGAUGACCCAUCAUUACCAUGCUAACUGAAGACUGGGACUCCAUCACAGCUGAAGCUCUUUAGAGAUGCUGUAUAUUCUUGCAGCACGAAGUGAAAAACAGAACUGUACUCAUACCCAGUAAAAACAACGCGAAGUGCAGUGCGAUCCAAAGUUAUUGGCUUAGCUAGGCCAUGUGCUGGAAAACAGGCAGCCUAGUAAUAUAAGCUUUCAAAACUUUGAUCACUUUUUAAAUUUGGAAUAAAUAAUACAACAUAAAUAAAACUGUACGUCCUGUAUGUAACUAAAUCUAAUUCUAAUAAAAGUCUAAUAACAAUAUCAAAUAAGCUUGACUCAGCU